GAUCCUGGCUCAGGAUGAACGCUAGCUACAGGCUUAACACAUGCAAGUCGAGGGGCAGCAUCAUCAAAGCUUGCUUUGAUGGAUGGCGACCGGCGCACGGGUGAGUAACACGUAUCCAACCGUGCCGACAACACUGGGAUAGCCUUUCGAAAGAAAGAUUAAUACCGGAUGGUAUAGUUUUCCCGCAUGGGAAUGAUUAUUAAAGAAUUUCGGUUGUCGAUGGGGAUGCGUUCCAUUAGG
rnacentral:rRNA from 1 species